CAUGAAUGUCUAAGUAUANGCAAUUAUACCGCGAAACUGCGAAUGGCUCAUUAAAUCAGUUAUCGUUUAUUUGAUAGUACCUUACUACAUGGAUAACCGUGGUAAUUCUAGAGCUAAUACAUGCUAAAAAUCCCGACUUCGGAAGGGAUGUAUUUAUUAGAUUAAAAACCAAUGCCCUCCGGGGCUCUCUGGUGAUUCAUAAUAACUUCUCGAAUCGCACGGCCUUGCGCCGGCGAUGGUUCAUUCAAAUUUCUGCCCUAUCAACUUUCGACGGCUGGGUCUUGGCCAGCCAUGGUGACAACGGGUAACGGAGGGUUAGGGCUCGACCCCGGAGAAGGAGCCUGAGAAACGGCUACUACAUCCAAGGAAGGCAGCAGGCGCGCAAAUUACCCAAUCCCGACUCGGGGAGGUAGUGACAAUAAAUACUGAUACAGGGCUCUUUUGGGUCUUGGUAAUUGGGAAUGAGUACAAUUUAAAUCCCUUAACGAGGAACAAU
rnacentral:rRNA from 1 species